rnacentral:rRNA from 1 species
AUUGAACGCUGGCGGCAGGCCUAACACAUGCAAGUCGAACGAGUGGCGGACGGGUGAGUAAUGUCUGGGAAACUGCCUGAUGGAGGGGGAUAACUACUGGAAACGGUAGCUAAUACCGCAUACCAUCAGAUGUGCCCAGAUGGGAUUAGCUAGUUGGUGGGGUAAAGGCCUACCAAGGCGACGAUCCGUAACUGGUCUGAGAGGAUGAUCAGUCACACUGGAACUGAGACACGGUCCAGACUCCUACGGGAGGCAGCAGUGGGGAAUAUUGGACAAUGGGCGAAAGCCUGAUCCAGCCAUGCCGCGUGUGUGAAGAAGGUCUUCGGAUUGUAAAGCACUUUAAGUUGGGAGGCGUUACCAACAGAAUAAGCACCGGCUAACUUCGUGCCAGCAGCCGCGGUAAUUC